AUCAUUUCUCCGCGUUUUGACUAGGAUUAAGGGUAGUAUUUAUUCUAAUCAAUUUAAUAUCUGAUUUGUUCUUUAAACAAGAGCGUUAUAUCAAACAGGUUUUUUUUAGAACAGGGAGCUGGAAUCGGAGUUUGCUCUUUCGGCUCCGUAUACGAACCUGAUGUUGCAGUACCUUUAUCUUUGUUCUAGAAAA